GGGCCUGGUGCUGAGACAGCAGUCACAGCUGUGAAAGCUGUGGUUGUUAUGGGUUUUGCAGCACAUCUUGGUCUGUCUAGUGUGUGAAAAUAAUUGGAAUGAUUGUCACCUUCUUUUAGGAAGCUAGAUAGAAAUCCUCUGGCUUCUGUGCUGAAGUCAUGCUUCUCAAGCAACUAACUGCUCUUGUUACUCUUAACAGCUGACUCCUCUUCUUUUUUCUCUGUUUCAGGGGUGUGAGAAAGAUUUGCACUUUUUUGUAAGUGAGAACAUCUGAAACAGGGACAGACAUCAAGAUUGGUUUUGGGAACAACAAAACUGUCAUCUUCCAAGAUCCAGCCUCCUGACCGUUGGGUGUGCUGUCUGAUCCAGCCAUUUAUAAUCUUCUGAAUCCAUUCAGUUUUACAGAAGCGUAUCGCUUGCAGAUUUAAGAAAAAAGACAAAGGGAAGUCUGGACCUGCAGGUCACUGAGACGAGAUCAGCAUGAGAGAAGAUCAUGGACUGCUGGAUGUUUUCCCACUGAGGGUUUCAGGCCUCUUCCAGUGACUGCGUAUGGCAGCUGAGCCAUGGGGUAAGC
rnacentral:lncRNA from 1 species